AUGGGGGAGCAAAGGGGCACAAGGCUCAGUCACGGGGAGGGCGGGGGGCACCCCCUCUCUUUGGUCAGCAUCUCAGCCGUGGGGGCGGGGAGGAUGCACAGAAUCCAGCCGGGCCCUAAUUCCUCAGGAAACGGGCCAGAGGAAAAUGCGAUCCGGCAGUUCUGGGCUCUCUCUGCCCCCCUCCCCCACCCCACUCAGUCAAGAACUCGGAAUUCUGGGCUCUUUGGGUGGUUCAAAAUGAAAGAAACUCUCCAGUCGCCCAAGGAGGCCAACAGACCAAUUCCUGACUCUCCAGGCCCUCUCGGGGUCCUUUCCUUGGGGCCGGGGCCUGGGAAGAUGGACCUCACAGCCCCUCGGGGCCUCCACCCCCUCCCGAAGGCCCCCACUAAAGUUGGGGUACUCAGGAACGCACAGAUCACUCCGGUUCUGGAGUCACGCAUUGGCAGCCCUGGGGGAUGGUGAGAUGGGAAACUCCAAGCUGUAUGAGAAGGGCUAGCCUGGCAGGAUGGGAGCCCCAAGAACCUGCAGGAAGUUUAACAUGCCCCAAGUCGGGACCUGGGUUCAAUUCUGUAGCAGACACCUAUUCACUACACAAAUCUGGGCAAGUCACUGGGCCUUGGUUUCCUCCUCUGUAAAAUGGCCUCUGAGGGCCACCCCCAUGUCCUCCAACUCCCCCUUGGGUGCUCCGGGUGCCGUGGCUGCCCCGUCCCUUCAGGAUCUGCCCCCCAACUCCACACCGACCCCCUCCAGCGCCCAGAAUGCGCAGAACAAGCCAGCAGCAGCUCAGGGGUCCAGCACGUUCCCCUGGCUGUCUGCCUGCCGCACCACCAUCACCCAGGGUCUCAUGGCCCUCCUCUGCGCCCCUGCCUGGGGAGGGGCCCAGGCAGCCGAUGCCCUCACCCCCUUCUGAUGUGGGGAGCAGCCCCCAAAUCAGCGCGGCCACCGCUACCGCCAAAGGCUUGUCCGGAAAUGCCCCCGCGGCCCCGAGCCCUCCCCAGAGCCCGGAUGGGCAUGAAGGGCUUCGUCCGUGACAAAAGCAGGCUUGUUGGGCUUGGUGCCCGACGGACCCUGGAUGUCCUGUCCUUCAGCUAAGCAAGCAUGAAGCAUCUGCUAUAUGCCAGGCACCCGAGGAAUAAAAUGGAUCUAUGCCUUCA
rnacentral:lncRNA from 1 species